GCUAGGAUAGCUCAGUUGGUAGAGCAUGCAACCCUUAAUCUCAGGGUUGUGAGUUCGAGACACACUUUGCGCAAAAGUU